ensembl:lncRNA
CUUUUCCUGAUAAAACCAGUUCGGAUGCAAGGGACAGCUGAGUGCUCUUGCCCCUGCCAGUAGGACCAUGGCCAGGGCUCAUCUCACUGCGGGGCGACCAUCUGCUGCCACUUAACAGCACAGGAAACCACCACUGAACAAAAGCAUCCACUCAUAGAGCAUCCCACCUCCUGCAACAAAAUGGAGGCAUAAAGGCAAUGCUACUUCAUCACAUACAAUUCACAGUGAAGAGAGGACAGCAAACAGCUUAUCCUUGCAGUGCUCCCCUGUGUCCAUCCACUUCCUAUUCUUAAGAUCUUUGAAAAAAGGAUUAGAAGAACAUACACAUCAGCAGAUGACCCUUGAUCUAGUAGACUACCCCAAACACAUGAAAGGUACUCUGGCCAGCAGAGCCAUGGGUAUUACUGGUGUUAUAUUUGGCUAAAAUCUUACCACCAAUCUCAGCUUCUGGCAUGGAAAGGCCACAGAAAGGAUACAAAGCUACAACCUGAAGGUGAGACCCAUCCCUUGCAACCUUUGCAUGAGGUGAAGAAAAUGAAGGAAAUGAAUAAACUGCCCACCUGCUAAAAUUGGUGCUGCAAACUGCCCCCAGGAGAACUGCCAAGGAAUCCAGCCUCAUAUUGCCUGGGGAAUGCAAGAGUUCCACUGUGGCUCCUCAGACUCUGUUCCCAUCCUUGCCCUUCUGCCCAGGAAAUACCAUUUAAUGCAUGUGCCCAGUUACUGCAACAACUUUGAAGAAAGGAAGAGUAAGUCAAAGGCAAUGCAAGAAGGCAGGAUCUGGCAACAGAAGCUGUCAAGAUUCCAAACCCAGAAAUGCAAACACCUACUGUCCAAAUUAUUGUUGUACUGGUAGAAACAGCCUCCAUCCUUUUGAUCAGUCCCACCAGCUAGAAGGAACUGGGGAGACCAAGGUGGUGAGGAAAGCUUGCCUUACUGAGAGUAGAAGUAACUGUUUCUGCACUGCCAAAUACUCAUUGGGAAAAAGAGCAAAACACAGACCAUUAAAUUGCAUCUGUUCAUAAUUUAAUCUUUUGUUCUGUAACUAACAUCAUGUAGCACUGUAUAUUACAAAAGAAAAAAGAAAUAAACUUCUACCAGGCAGGUUGUGAAAACCCA